CUCCAUUUGCCCUUGCCAACCUGGACUCAUAAUUUUUUACUAAUGGACAAAUUACAUUUUGUACUCUUUCACUCUAAUGCAAAAAGAAACAGACACAGAGAGAGAGAUAGAAAUAGUGACAUAAAUGGCCCAGAUAAUGCUAGAAAACCCCAUUUUAUGAGAAACCUUCACAAAAUCAACAGUUUCCAGAUGGUGUUUCAUAGAGAUCUAAGGAGCCAGGUAACAUCCUCUGAAGCAAGGGAAUUAGGAGAUAAAGAGAGGCUGGAGGAGCACAGUGGACGUUCGACCUCAGACUUUGACUUGCCUCAACCUACUUUACAAUUUAGGCCUCAACUAAAGACAAAAUGUGAAGAUGCUUUGGUGAUUACUCUAUUUUGGUAAUAGCUCUCAGUAUAAUGUAUUGCAUAAUUAAUUUUAUUGGACCGUCAUGAAAAUUUUUCUCUGCCAACAAAAUAACACUACUGCUGCUUCAUUAGUUUCUUCUUCACAGUUUAAAGAACAGCCUAUGGUAAAUUAAUCAGG
rnacentral:lncRNA from 1 species